UUCAACGACCGGCCACCUUAUG
rnacentral:miRNA from 1 species